rnacentral:rRNA from 1 species
GGGCGAAGUUGAGGAGGGUCAGCGGCAGGAGCAGCUCACAUAAGUGGUCGGGGAAGACAGUCGGCAGCAGGUCCAUCGCAUCAUGUGAAUCCAUCCAUUGGCAGAAAUCAUAAUUAAAUCAUCAUCAUUGACAUGGCAGAAUGGGCGUGCAAAGAAAUUAUUUACAGGAUAUACAAAGCAACUACAUGUUGAUAUGAUUGGAUUGUAUGCACGGCGGAUUUGUAAUACUUAGUGUGAGUGCUGCUAGUCAAUAAAGAUGGGAUUCGUAGGAAAACAAAAAUAAUCAAUCAGUAGUCACCAUACGUAUGUGCAUAAUAGUUGUACAUAUAUAAUCUGAGUUGAUUUCUUUCUUAAAAAUUAUAUUAUCAACAUGGCUAGAGACUAUAUAGAUGGUCUACUCUGGUAUGUAGGUACAUGUGCAUCCAUCUUUUGCAUGCCGGCAAUCGGACUGAGAAAGCUAGACACAAAAAUACUAGCAAGUAUAUAUACUGAGAAAGCUAGACACAAACAUAGCCGCCUAGCAUUGGUAAGGUACAUGGCUUUGUUUCACUCAUUGCAGGAAAGUGGGCUGCUCUUGCAAAAUCGUGAGGCAGCAAACAGCUGCAGCAGUGGCAUGAGACGCUAACUCGACGGCAACGCAACAGCGAUGGGAUAAGCAACAGCCGGUUCAUACAGCGGUACGGCACAGAUCGCAUCAAGCAGCAAGGCGAGAGGGGGG